rnacentral:tRNA from 1 species
CGGGGCGUGGCGCAGCCUGGUUAGCGCGCUUGGUUCGGGACCAAGAGGACGGGGGUUCAAAUCCCCCCGCCCCGA